rnacentral:rRNA from 1 species
UACAGAGGGGGCAAGCGUUGUUCGGAAUUACUGGGCGUAAAGGGCGCGUAGGCGGCCAACUAAGUCAGACGUGAAAUCCCCAGGCUCAACCUGGGAACUGCGUCUGAUACUGGAUGGCUUGAAUCCGGGAGAGGGAUGCAGAAUUCCAGGUGUAGCGGUGAAAUGCGUAGAUAUCUGGAGGAAUACCGGUGGCGAAGGCGGCAUCCUGGACCGGCAUUGACGCUGAGGAGCGAAAGCCAGGGGAGCAAACGGG